AGAACGAACGCUGGCGGCAUGCCUAAUACAUGCAAGUCGAACGAAGGCUUCGGCCUUAGUGGCGCACGGGUGCGUAACGCGUGGGAAUCUGCCCCUUGGUUCGGAAUAACAGUUGGAAACGACUGCUAAUACCGGAUGAUGACGAAAGUCCAAAGAUUUAUCGCCAAGGGAUGAGCCCGCGUAGGAUUAGCUAGUUGGUGAGGUAAAGGCUCACCAAGGCGACGAUCCUUAGCUGGUCUGAGAGGAUGAUCAGCCACACUGGGACUGGGACAGGCCCAGACUCCUACGGGAGGCAGCAGUAGGGAAUAUUGGACAAAUGGGCGAAAAGCCUGAUCCAGCAAUAGCG
rnacentral:rRNA from 1 species